rnacentral:sRNA from 1 species
CAAGACUGCUCUCCUCAGACCUCACUGUAGGGUGACUGAGAAUAGUCAUUUAUUUCCUGUUCCAGGUCCUAGACCCACCUGCCCGCCGGAUCUGGAAUAAUGUGACUCGCUGGUUUGUCACGUGUGUCCGGCAGCCAGAAUUCCGAGCCGUGCUAGGAGAAGUGGUUCUAUACUCAGGAGCCAGGCCUCUCUCUCAUCAGCCAGGCCCCGAGGCUCCUGCCCUCCCAAAGACAGCUGCUCAGCUCAAGAAAGAGGCAAAGAAACGGGAGAAGCUAGAGAAAUUCCAACAGAAGCAGAAGAUCCAACAGCAGCAGCCACCUCCAGGGGAGAAGAAACCAAAACCAGAGAAGAGGGAGAAACGGGAUCCUGGGGUCAUUACCUAUGACCUCCCAACCCCACCCGGGGAAAAGAAAGAUGUCAGUGGCCCCAUGCCCGACUCCUACAGCCCUCGGUAUGUGGAGGCUGCCUGGUACCCUUGGUGGGAGCAGCAGGGCUUCUUCAAGCCAGAGUAUGGGCGUCCUAAUGUGUCAGCAGCAAAUCCCCGAGGUGUCUUCAUGAUGUGCAUCCCACCCCCCAAUGUGACAGGCUCCCUGCACCUGGGCCAUGCACUCACCAACGCCAUUCAGGACUCCCUGACUCGAUGGCACCGCAUGCGUGGGGAGACCACCCUGUGGAACCCUGGCUGUGACCAUGCAGGUAUUGCCACCCAGGUGGUGGUGGAGAAGAAGCUAUGGCGUGAGCAGGGACUGAGCCGGCACCAGCUGGGCCGCGAGGCCUUUCUACAGGAAGUCUGGAAGUGGAAGGAGGAGAAAGGUGACCGGAUUUACCACCAGUUGAAGAAGCUCGGCAGCUCCUUGGACUGGGAUCGAGCCUGUUUCACCAUGGACCCUAAACUCUCAGCAGCUGUGACAGAGGCCUUUGUCCGGCUUCACGAGGAAGGCGUCAUCUAUCGCAGUACCCGCCUUGUUAACUGGUCCUGCACCCUCAACUCCGCCAUCUCUGACAUU